GUAGGGGACAAGCGUUAUCCGGAUUUACUGGGCGUAAAGCGCCCGUAGGCGGCUUUUUAAGUUGGACGUGAAAGCUCCCGGCUUAACUGGGAGAGGCCGUUCAAAACUGAGAGGCUAGAGUGAGGCAGAGGAGCGCGGAAUUCCCGGUGUAGUGGUGGAAUGCGUAGAUAUCGGGAGGAACACCAGUGGCGAAAGCGGCGCUCUGGGCCUAAACUGACGCUGAGGGGCGAAAGCGUGGGGAGCGAACGGGAUUAGAUACCCCGGUAGUCCACGCCGUAAACGAUGGAGACUAGGUGUAGGUGGAUAGAACCCCAUCUGUGCCGAAGCCAACGCGUUAAGUCUCCCGCCUGGGGAGUACGGCCGCAAGGUUAAA
rnacentral:rRNA from 1 species